AAAUGCAAGCCGGGAAGUCCCCAGUGGUGCCUGCACCUAGGAGGCGACUGCAACGGAUGGAUGCGGGGGAAUGAAGAGUUGCAUGGGGCUCGCUCGUUUUCUCUGGAGUUAGUUGCGUCCUAUACAGGGUCGUGUCGAGGUCGUCCUAAACCGUGGCCACUUUCCUGAGUGCACAGCCCGCAGUAGCGCCACAAGACCACCUCCCCCCGGCCCCGGCCUCAUCCCCACCUCCAGGGAAGAGUCCAGAGCCACAGAAUUAGCUCCUAGAACGCAACCAACAAGAGUCCAGAUGAACCCGCUCUAUUGGGAAACUCACAGUUUUUCAUCUACUCUGGGCACCACAACGUAUUUGCAGGGGCCACAGCAAAAACUACCCUUGAUCAAGCUACGUGCCCCAGCCUGAAGCACAGCAAAUAAACAUCCUGCACAGAGGCAGUAAAAACAA
ensembl:lncRNA SORL1-AS1 SORL1 antisense RNA 1